AAUGAACGUUGGCGGCGUGGAUUAGGCAUGCAAGUCGCGCGCCCCGCAAGGGGAGCGGCGCAAGGGUGAGUAAGGCGACGGUAACCAACCCCAUGAAUGGGCAUAGCCGCGGGUAACUGCGGGUAACUCCCAGCGAUGUGUCGAGUCGGCAUCGACUUGACACCAAAGUCCCGGCGUCGUGGGACGGGCCGUCGUGGUAUUAGCUAGUCGGCGGGGUAACGGCCCACCGAGGCGACGAUGCCUACCGGGCGUGCGAGCGUGGCCCGGCACACUGGGACUGAGACACUGCCCAGACUCUUACGGGAGGCUGCAGUCGAGAAUCUUCGGCAAUGGGCGCAAGCCUGACCGAGCGACGCCGCGUGGAGGACGAAGGCCUUCGGGUUGUAAACUCCUGUCGAGGGGGAGGAAGGCGUAAGCUUGACCGAUACCNGGAGGAAGCACGGGCUAAGGUCGUGCCAGCCGCCGC
rnacentral:rRNA from 1 species